AGUGAAGCGGCAACAGCUCAAAUUUGAAAUCUGGCUCUUUCAGGGUCCGAGUUGUAAUUUGUAGAGGAUGCUUCGGGUACGGCUCCGGUCUAAGUUCCUUGGAACAGGACGUCGCAGAGGGUGAGAAUCCCGUACGUGACCGGCCUCCACGCCCGUGUGAAGCUCCUUCGACGAGUCGAGUUGUUUGGGAAUGCAGCUCAAAAUGGGUGGUAAAUUUCAUCUAAAGCUAAAUAUUGGCCAGAGACCGAUAGCGCACAAGUAGAGUGAUCGAAAGAUGAAAAGCACUUUGGAAAGAGAGUCAAACAGUACGUGAAAUUGUUGAAAGGGAAGCGCUUGCAACCAGACUUGCCCGCGGGUGAUCAGCCGGUAUUUUUACCGGUGCACUCGCCCGUGGUCAGGCCAGCAUCGGUUUGGGCGGCUGGAUAAAGUCCCCCGGAAUGUAGCUCCUUUCGGGGAGUGUUAUAGCCGGAGGUGCAAUGCAGCCCGCCUGGACCGAGGACCGCGCUUCGGCUCGGAUGCUGGCGUAAUGGUUGUAAGCGACCCGUCUUGAAACACGGACCAAGGAGUCUAACAUCUAUGCGAGUGUUUGGGUGUCAAACCCAUGCGCGUAAUGAAAGUGAACGGAGGUGGGAACCCUUGAAGGGCGCACCAUCGACCGAUCCUGAUGUCUUCGGAUGGAUUUGAGUAAGAGCAUAGCUGUUGGGACCCGAAAGAUGGUGAACUAUGCCUGAAUAGGGUGAAGCCAGAGGAAACUCUGGUGGAGGCUCGCAGCGGUUCUGACGUGCAAAUCGAUCGUCAAAUUUGGGUAUA
rnacentral:rRNA from 1 species